rnacentral:lncRNA from 1 species
GGUUACGCUAACUUGAAGUGCCAGGGUAAUAUUGAUAGAGAUGGAGAUAAUGGGGAAGUAAAGUCACCAGGUUUCAGGGAUAGCGGACCAAAGAGAGGCAGAUGUCCAGACUCAUAUCUAGGUCUGUCUUGCACAACUAGAUGGGUCAUUAGUGAACCUUGGGAUAGGAUCAGAUUUCAGGAGGAGGAACACGUUUUUAGUUUGGGACAUAUAAGUACUUUUAAGACACUGAACAAGAAUUGUCAAGAUUUGAUUGCAUGGGCCUGGAACUUAGAAAAGCCUGGGUUGCAGAUGUGUAUGGGAGUUAUUUGUGAGUAGAUUUUAAUUAAUAGAUCAUGUGUAUGAAGUGCUCUGUAAACUGUAAAGGGCUACAAAUUGUCUUAAUUUGUGGUGCUGUUUCAAACCCGGUGAUUUUUUUUUUUACCUGUCUUUCGGUAGAUAGUUUAGUCAUUUUUUUUCUACAGAACUGUUCUGACUUUUCCCUCUUUUGAACUACUUCUAUACCUUACAUGUAAUUACUGUGGUAUUUCAGCAGUAUAUUAUGAUUAUGUGUGUGUUUAUGUACAUAUCUGUCUGUCUUUUAUAGUGUGAGGUCAUUUGAAUAAAGUGACUGGGUUUUAUUAUUGUGAAUUGCCUGAGGCUGGGUCUCAUGUAUGUUUUGUUCCCUAUGGUAUAUCUAGCACUUAAUGUGUGGCAUAGCACAUAUCAAAGAUUGUACAUAUUGAGUCAAGUUUUUUUGUUUUUUUUUGUUUGUUUGUUUUUUUGCUUUUUUUUAGGGCUACUCCUGUGGCAUAUGGAAGUACCCAGGCCAGAGUUCAAAUUGGAGUUGGAGCUGCUGGCCUACGCCACAGCCACAGCAAUGCCAGAUCCGAGCCAUGUCUGCAACCUACACCACAGCUCACAUCAAUUGGGUUAAUGAUCCAGCGUUGCCGUGAGCUAUGGUGUAGGUUGCGGACACGGCUCGGAUCCUCCAUUGCUGUGGCUGUGGUGUAGGCCGGCGGCUACAGCUCAGAUUGGACCCCUGGCCUGGGAACCUCCAUAUGCUGUGAGUGCGGCCCUAGAAAAUACAAAAAAAAAAAAGGAAUAAAUGCCACUUAAGGUGUAUAAUCCUUUUAAUAUGCUGUUGAAUUCUAUCUGUGCUCCCAGUUAUUUUGAUUAUUUUCGAAAGGAAUACCAGACAUAGCAGUAAGCUAGUAAACGAAUAAACAAACAAUAUAAUGGCAGAUUUUGAUAAGUAUUAUGAAGAAAAGUGAAACAGGGCAGAAAGAUAAAAAGACUGGCAGGAGUGGAUGAGGCUGCUGCUGUUUAGAUACAGAGGUUUGAGAAACUCUCUGAGGAGGUGAUACUUAAGAACCAGGAAAAAGGUGAGGGAAGAACCUUUCAGGCACAGGGGACAGCAGAGGUAGGAAUUUUCUUAGAGUUCUUGGGAAAUAGCUGGGAAGGAGGGAUUGAGAAUAUGAACAGGAGAUUAAGUCACAGAGGCUGGGGAGGCUUAGGAUAUCCGCAGUAUAGGAGGGCACAUAAAUCGCAUCUCCUGAGCCUUAGUUAAGCACAGACAGUGACAUAUACGGCUUUUACUACUUGUUACAGAUUUCCUCCUUUCUUUUUAUUUCCUUUGUAUUUGCUGUCCUAUUUCUAGAAAGAAUGUGUUUGCUUUGUUAACCAAAGACAGGGGGUUCCCUCCCAGAUUUCCUCUGAAGAAGGGAGGAGUCUCUGGGUCCAGCCAAGAAUCCAUUGUGAUGUCUUAUGUGAUUUG